rnacentral:rRNA from 1 species
CCUACGGGGGGCAGCAGUGAGGAAUAUUGGUCAAUGGACGAGAGUCUGAACCAGCCACGUAGCGUGAAGGAUGACUGCCCUAUGGGUUGUAACCUUCUUUUAUAUGGGAAUAAAAUGUUCCACGUGUGGGAUUUUGUAUGUACCAUAUGAAUAAGGAUCGGCCAACUCCGUGCCAGCAGCCGCGGUAAUACGGAGGAUCCGAGCGUUAUCCGGAUUUAUUGGGUUUAAAGGGAGCGUAGGUGGAUUGUUAAGUCAGUUGUGAAAGUUUGCGGCUCAACCGUAAAAUUGCAGUUGAAACUGGCAGGCUUGAGUACAGUAGAGGUGGGCGGAAUUCGUGGUGUAGCGGUGAAAUGCUUAGAUAUCACGAAGAACUCCGAUUGCGAAGGCAGCUCACUGGACUGCAACUGACACUGAGGCUCGAAAGUGUGGGUAUCAAACAGGAUUAGAUACCCCAGUAGUC